rnacentral:rRNA from 1 species
AACGUAGGUGGCAAGCGUUCUCCGGAAUUACUGGGCGUAAAGGGUGUGCAGGCGGGGAAGCCGGGGGGGUGUGAAAUCUCCCAGCUUAACUGGGAUAGGUUAUGCCAGACUGCUUUUCUAGAGGACGAGAGAGGGGGGUGGAAUUCCGGGUGUAGUGGUGAAAUGCGUAGAGAUCCGGAGGAACCCCAGAGGCGAAGGCGGCCCCCUGGCUCGUACCUGACGCUCAGCCACGAAAGCAUGGGGAGCGAACGGG